AGAACGAACGCUGGCGGCAGGCUUAACACAUGCAAGUCGAACGCUCCGCAAGGGGAGUGGCAGACGGGUGAGUAACGCGUGGGAACAUACCCCUCGGUUCGGAAUAACUCAGGGAAACUUGAGCUAAUACCGGAUACGGUCGAGAGGCGAAAGAUUUAUCGCCGAGGGAUUGACCCGCGUCCGAUUAGCUAGUUGGUGAGGUAAUGGCUCACCAAGGCGACGAUCGGUAGCUGGUCUGAGAGGAUGAUCAGCCACAUUGGGACUGAGACACGGCCCAAACUCCUACGGGAGGCAGCAGUGGGGAAUAUUGGACAAUGGGCGAAAGCCUGAUCCAGCCAUGCCGCGUGAGUGAUGACGGCCUUAGGGUUGUAAAGCUCUUUCGUCAGGGACGAUAAUGACGGUACCUGAAGAAGAAGCCCCGGCUAACUUCGUGCCAGCAGCC
rnacentral:rRNA from 1 species